rnacentral:rRNA from 1 species
GACAGAGGGUGCAAACGUUGUUCGGAAUUACUGGGCGUAAAGCGUGUGUAGGCGGCCAUGUAAGUCGGAUGUGAAAGCCCCGGGCUUAACCCGGGAAGUGCAUUCGAUACUGCGUGGCUUGAGUAUCGGAGAGGUUGGUGGAAUUCUCGGUGUAGAGGUGAAAUUCGUAGAUAUUAGCUAGAACACCAGUGGCGAAGGCGGCCAACUGGUCCGGUACCUGACGCUGAGGUGCGAAAGCGUGGG